rnacentral:rRNA from 1 species
AGCCAAAUAGCUAGCCCAAACCCCUAAAACAAAAAAAUCACCCUUUAUAAACCCUCAUCCACUAAAAAUAUUAAGCAAACCAUUUUCCCCUCUUAGUAUAGGAGAUAGAAAAGAAUCUAAGCGCAAUAGAGAAAGUACCGCAAGGGAAAGCUGAAAGAGAAAUGAAAUAACCCAGUUUUAAGCUCAAAGAAGCAGAGACUAACCCUUGUACCUUUUGCAUCAUGGUUUAGCCAGCAAAAUUUAAGCAAAGAGUAUUUUAGUUUAAAACCCCGAAACUAGGUGAGCUACCCCAAGACAGCCUAUCAUAAGGGCACACCCUUCUCUGUGGCAAAAGAGUGGGAAGAUCUUCGAGUAGCGGUGACAGACCUACCGAACCUAGUUAUAGCUGGUUGCUUGAAAAAUGGAUAAAAGUUCAGCCUUCUUGGUUCUCCCCACACCUAGGCCUCACCUAAACCUGUCAACCGAGAAACUAGAAGAGUUAGUCAAAGGGGGUACAGCCCCUUUGAAAAAGGACACAACCUUCCCAGGAGGAUAAAGAUCACAAUAAACAAGGCCUAAUUUUUAGGUGGGCUUAAGAGCAGCCAUCCUAUUGAAAAGCGUUAUAGCUCAAAUUUACAGUUACUCGCCUUAGAUACUGAUAAUUUAAUCCUAACCCCUAAUUUUAUCAAGCUAUCCCAUGCCGUCAUGGGAGCAAUCCUGCUAAUAUGAGUAAUAAGGGAGCCCCGGCUCCCUCCCCUGCACAAGUGUAUGUCGGAACGGACCCCCCACCGAAACUUAACGACCCCAACAAGAGAGGGCAUUGAAUAAAAUAUACCAAACCUGGAAAAAUCCUCACAAAUAAAUCGUUAAUCCCACACUGGUGUGUCCAAAGGGAAAGGAUUAAAGAGAAAGAAGGAACUCGGCAAACACCCUAAGCCUCGCCUGUUUACCAAAAACAUCGCCUCUUGCAAAACCAACGAAUAAGAGGUCCCGCCUGCCCAGUGACUAUAAGUUUAACGGCCGCGGUAUUUUGACCGUGCAAAGGUAGCGCAAUCACUUGUCUUUUAAAUGGAGACCUGUAUGAAUGGCAUCACGAGGGCUUAACUGUCUCCUUUCUUCAACCAAUGAAAUUGAUCUCCCCGUGCAGAAGCGGGGAUACCCACAUAAGACGAGAAGACCCUAUGGAGCUUUAGACACCAAAGCAGCCUACGUCAAACACCCUUUCACAAAAGACCAAACUAAGUAGAUCCUCCCCUAAUGUCUUCGGUUGGGGCGACCUUGGGGAAAUACAAAACCCCCAUGCGGAAUGAAAGCAUGCUUUCACAACCAAGAGCUUCUGCUCUAAGAACCAGAACUUCUGACCAUCAGAUCCGGCAAAGCCGAUCAACGGACCGAGUUACCCUAGGGAUAACAGCGCAAUCUCCUUACAGAGCCCUUAUCGACAAGGGGUUUACGACCUCGAUGUUGGAUCAGGACAUCCCAAUGGUGCAGCCGCUAUUAAAGGUUCGUUUGUUCAACGAUUAAAGUCCUACGUGAUCUGAGUUCAGACCGGAGUAAUCCAGGUCAGUUUCUAUCUAUGAUAUGACCUUUUCUAGUACGAAAGGACCGAGAAGAAGAGGCCAAUAUUUCAAAUACACCUCCCCCACACCUAGCGAAACCAACUAAAAUAGGCAAAAGGGCAUAAAUAUUCUGAUGAUAGCUUGAAAACAUAGCAG